rnacentral:rRNA from 1 species
UACGUAGGGGGCAAGCGUUGUCCGGAUUUAUUGGGUUUAAAGGGUGCGUAGGCGGUCAUGUAAGUCAGUGCUGAAAUAUCCCGGCUUAACCGGGAGGGUGGCAUUGAUACUGUAUGACUUGAGUAAAGUUGAGGUUGGCGGAAUUGACGGUGUAGCGGUGAAAUGCUUAGAUAUCGUCAAGAACACCUAUUGCGAAGGCAGCUAACUAAGCUUUAACUGACGCUGAGGCACGAAAGUGUGGGGAUCAAACAGG